rnacentral:rRNA from 1 species
GACGAACCGUGCAAACGUUGUUCGGAGUCACUGGGCUUAAAGGGCGCGUAGGCGGCGAAUCAAGUCCGGGGUGAAAUCUUUCGGCUCAACCGGAAAAGGGCCUUGGAUACUGGUUCGCUCGAGGGAGGUAGGGGCAUGUGGAACUUCCGGUGGAGCGGUGAAAUGCGUUGAUAUCGAGAGGAACACCUGCGGCGAAGGCGGGUUGCUGGGCUGACACUGACGCUGAAGCGCGAAAGCUAGGGGAGCGAACGGG